GGCCCAGCCGGUGGGCGGGGGCGGCCGCGGCUGCCGUGGGAACCGAGCUACCUCUUCUUGGCUACCCCUUGCUGGGCGGCUGUGCUGUGCAGCUCCAUCCGGCAGCUCCGGUUCGCUCAGCGGCGGGAGAGUCCUCAUCCUUUUCCCCUGCAGGGCCGCGGGGACUGGAAGGCGGCAUCCGCAGCUGUCCACGCCUGAGCAUCCGCUGCCCACCAGGGGGGCACAGGCCAUCAAAGCCAAAUCCGAACUUGAAUUCUGUGCAGGCGAUUGCAGAGCUGUCUUGACGCCCUGAGGACUGGGAUCUGCAAACCCCACUGGACGGAGGUCAGGGCUGGGAUCUGCAACCCCCAGUGGACAGAGGUCGACCUACCCCGAAGGCGAGCUUUCUCAUGGAGGGCACCUGUUGCAGAGGCUGGAAAUGAAAUAAAGGCGUGUGCUUGUUUCCGAGC
rnacentral:lncRNA from 1 species